rnacentral:tRNA from 1 species
CAAGAUAUAGCUUAACUAAAGUAUCUCGCUUACACCGAGAACAUGCCCGCGAAACCCGAGCUAUUUUGA